AUGGCCAACUACAAGUCUUCUUCCCCUUCGUCAUCUUCAAGGCGGCGGCGCUCAAGUGGCCAAUCUUCGGAACAUCAUCGAGCUCAAGCACUACAACACCAUCAAGAUGAAGAUGCUCGCGAUACGUACACCUACAAGUCCCAAAAAGCUCUACAUCAAGCUACGGCCAAACGUCAUGAGCACAAGAGAAGACUGCGAGACAAGCACCACCAAGACGGAGCUACGACUACUACGACCACUUCGGCAUCUUCGCCAAGUGUCAUCAAGGCAUCUUUGCCUUUGGACGUAUGGCAUCUUCGCCUACCUCCGACGAGUACGCCUACUUCGGCCUUCCUCCACGGCGAUGGUGACGAGAUGAUCGAGCAUGGGAUUUUCCCUUCGGUCAUGGAGGAGAGCGAUGAUGUUCCAUCUUCGGUGUUCAUUCAUGGUGACGACGAAGAGAUGGUUGAGCAUGGGAUUUUCCCUUCGACCACGGCGACGUAUGAUGACUUGAGUGACUUGUGCCACCAUAUUGAGAGUGAGAGUGACUUCACCACUAGCCCCAUAUAUGACGACUUGCCCCAAUUCCCAUGUGAGGAGAGCCACCACCACCACCACUUGAGUGAUUUGAGUGACUCCACCAUAUGUGACAUUGAGUGCACCUACCUUGAGGGAGUGAGUGAGCCACCACCACAUAGAGAGAGUGAGGCCAUUUGCAUUGCUAACAACUUGACCUCUACCUCUAUUGUGUCUUCUCAUUUGGUGCUAGGUCCCAUAUAUGAUGAUGCACCGAUCCGCGACGACUUCAUUCUUCCUAUGGACAAGACGAUGGCCAUGGUGGAAUAUGAUGCACCCCCACAUGGUUCCAUCAAGAUGAAGAUGAUGACCACCAUUUGGUCUUUCCCACCUCACCUACACCACUUGAGUGGAACGAGAAAGGUAACAUAG
rnacentral:rRNA from 1 species